GGGAUGGCUCAUUCCUUAAGUGGAUUAAUCCUUGAUGUCAAAAAUAAGAAUAAUAAAAGUAAAAUAUAAAUAAAAUUAAAAAAAAGGGCUAAGGAUGUACUUCAGUGGUAAAGCAUCCUUGGGUUCAAUCCUCAGUAUCAAAAAAUUUUUGAGACAGGGUAUUGCUAAAUGGCUAAGUCUUGAAUUUGUGAUCCUCCAGCCUCAGCCUCCUAAGUCUGCCACUGCUGGGCAUCGAUCAAUUAUUAUUUUUUUUUGGAGCGGUAGUAAGAGAUGGGAAUUAGAGCUUUUAAAAGUAGCAAAAGGUAUUGUUGGUCCUCUUUUCCUUUUGUAGAAAUUGGGGAGAAAAGUUUGGUUCUUUGAAAAGUUCUUAGUUUCAAUUCCCUCUCUUUCAGAUUCAGUGCAGGUUCAGUGAUCUGUCUUGCUCAUUGCAGAAUCCCCUGCAUCAAGACAGUAUCCAGUACAUAGUAGAUUAUCAGUAAAGACUGGCUGAAUGAAGGAGUGAAUGAAGCUGUGGUGUCUGAAGAAUGUUAUAGUCAAGAGAUUCAAGCAGGGUGGCAGGGCCCUGCUUCCUAUCCUUGUAGCAUGUCCCUCACAGGCUGGGGUAAGCUAUCCUUACCAUGAGUGGCACUUGUGCAACAGCCAAUGUUCCUUGACCUAUGGCAGUUUAUUGUGGCUCCUCACUGGUAUUUGUCCUUCUAGACUCUCCAACUCUUUUUUUUUUUUAAUACCCUGUGGCCAGAAGGAUAUAUCUUUCUAACCCAUGUAUAUGGCCCUGUCCCUUCUCUCUAGAGCUCUCAGAAUCAAGGCCAAGCCACUUGUGUUGACCUUCAACAACUGUUGCUAAUCUUCUCAGGCCUUCACCUUGCUGGCCUUUGGGCCACAUGUACCACCUGGCGAGUUCCUGUGACAUUUAUCAGUAAUCACCUUUUCUAAGAAAAAAAUUAUUUGUGCUCUUCUUUAGGAUGUGAUCCUUCACAUGCAUUUCUUUCUUUUCUUUCUUUCCCUCUCUUCCUUUCUAUUGCCCCACCCCUUCUCUUUCUGUACAGGGAUUGAAGCCAGGGGUGCUUUGCCAUUAGCUGCAUUUCUAACUCUUUAUAUUUUAAAUUUCCAGACAGGGUGUUGCUAAGUUGCUGAGUCUGACUUUGAACUUGCGGGACUCCUGCCUCAGUCUCCCAAACUGCUGGGAUUAUAGGUAUAGGCCACUGCACUUGGCUAAACCUGUUUUCUCUUGAACCUGUGUUUGGAUGGGGAGGACUUUGCUUCCAGUAAAACCAAUGUAAUGUGUUCAACUUAAACUUUGGUGCUGCAGGAACAUGCACUGAGGGGAGUGUGAGAGGAAGUGUGUAUGUGUGUGAUGCUUAGAACAAUCAGUGGACUACUCCUCAUUCCCAACUUUCUGAUGGUAAGGGAGGUGAGCAUGUAGGUUAUGGUGGGGUGAUACUAUGUCCCUUUCUUUUGUUUCUGGGUAACACUAUCCAGGACCACUCCUGUUGAGCCCAUGUGGCAUCCAACCAGUGUUAUCCUAGUUACACACAUAUUCAGACUAAGCCCCUCAAUCUCCUGGCUGCUAUUGUUAACUGACGUCUUCUCAGAGUGUUAGCACUUUGGUUAGGGACAUAAGAGACAAGGAAAAUGCAGUGAUUCAGAGCUGGAAUCCUCAUUCCUACAAGCAGUUUUUGACUGAAGCUCAGUGAAUACAAGUGAUACCUUGGGCAGGUUAAUGAGCAUACUGCCAUUGUGAACCCAGAAGGAAACAAAGUUUACGAAGAAUCUUUUUUUCACUGUCUUAUUGAACUUCCAUGUCUUGACUCUUAUUGUUUUAUAGGUACUGUGCUAAGCACUUAACAUGCAUAAUCUCAUUUAGUUCUUAAUCCCAUGAGAUAUGUGUAUUUAUUUCUACUUUACUGUGGGGAAAACAGGUUUUCAGAAAUUAUUUUGGCAGCCUACCCUGCUAGUGAGUGAUGAAAUGGUUAAACACAUGUCCUUCUAUCUCCUAGUCCCAAAUUGCAACCAAGAUUCCCAGAGUCCCAUUCCCUGCCUUCAAAAACUGACAAAUUGCUUGCAGAGCUUAUGUGUACAGGAAAUAUGUUUGAUAACAUUAAUAGUAAUGGUAUAACUUUCUAUUUUAAAAAUGCUCUAGAACUUACAAAACAUUUAGAAAAUAAGGAAUAAUGGGAAAAGCAGGAAGUUGAGGGAUCUCAGAUUUGAAUCCCAUAUCCUCUGUCUCCUAGCUGUGUGACUUAGGAAAGUUAAGUCCCUUCUCUCUGGGGCUAUGUCAAUGAUGUGUUCACCUCACCAACCCAUAGGGAAAUCAGUGCUCUGAGAAGGGCAGUGACUUGCCUGUGUCCCCCAGGGAGAUCAAGACAAAGCCUGCUGGUUUCUGAAGACUGCCACCAUGGUUUCUACCUGGGAAGGUAGGAAUGGGAGCAUUUGACUUUCUGGGAAUCCACAGUAUACCCUUCUCCUUUAAUACCCACCCAUCCACACCCCUUUCUGAGCCUCAGAGGCUCAAGCCUCUGAGCUUUGACCCUAGGUAGGCAAGAAUCUCCAGGUCUCAGCUCAGGUUUACCCUUGCCCCCCUGGACAAGAGCCAGAAUGAUUGGUGGAGGUAAGAUGCCUGGAUGUGUUAUCCUUACUCAAUAAAGUAACUAUUGAAUUGCUGAAGUGAGACUAUGCCUUCUGGGGCCGGAUGGACCACAGAUUGCCAGAACAUGGGGCGAGCUACUUUAUCUCUUUGUUAAGGCUUCUCUAUAAGAGAAAUAGUGAUAGGGUUAUGAAACUUAAAUGAGUUAAGAAUUGUGAAGUGUGGG
rnacentral:lncRNA from 1 species